AGAACGAACGCUGGCGGCAUGCCUAACACAUGCAAGUCGAACGAGACCUUCGGGUCUAGUGGCGCACGGGUGCGUAACGCGUGGGAAUCUGCCCUUGGGUUCGGAAUAACAGUUGGAAACGACUGCUAAUACCGGAUGAUGACGUAAGUCCAAAGAUUUAUCGCCAAGGGAUGAGCCCGCGUAGGAUUAGCUAGUUGGUGAGGUAAAGGCUCACCAAGGCAACGAUCCUUAGCUGGUCUGAGAGGAUGAUCAGCCACACUGGGACUGAGACACGGCCCAGACU
rnacentral:rRNA from 1 species